GCGUUAUCCGGAAUUAUUGGGCGUACCCGCGCGCGUUUACGGUUUUUUAAGUCUGAUGUGAAGGCCCACGGCUCAGCCGUGGAGGGUCAUUGGAAACUGGAAAACUNUGAGUGCAGAAGAGGAAAGUGGAAUUCCAUGUGUACGGUGAAAUGCGCAAGAUAUGGAGGAACACCAGUGGCGAAGGCGACUUUCUGGUCUGUAACUGACGCUGAUGUGCGAAAGCGUGGGGAUCAAACAGGAUUAGAUACCCUGGUAGUCAAGGGCG
rnacentral:rRNA from 1 species